CUCUGCCCCCGGGAUGCAGCUCGCCCAGCCCGGGCCCUGAUGCCCGCUCCACCAUGGUUCUGCUCAGCAGCUUCUUGCACCUGCAGGGCAGGCGCUGCGGGCCCUUCGCGGCCCUGGGGCUGGGCGGGGCCCCCCACCGCAGGCCCCGGUCGUGCGGGGCUGGCCGCAGGCCCCUGCGGGUGCUGGUGGACAUGGACGGGGUGCUCGCCGACUUCGAGGGAGGAUUCCUAAAGAAGUUCAGGGCCAGGUACCCAGACACCCCCUACGUUACCCUGGAGGACCGCAGGGGCUUCUGGGUGUCGGAGCAGUAUGGGCGCCUGAGACCCGAGCUGAGUGAGAAAGCAAUAAGCAUAUGGGAAUCAAAGAAUUUCUUCAUCGAGCUGGAUCCACUCCCAGGCGCUGUGGAAGCUGUGAAGCAGAUGGCCAAUAUGGAGAACACUGAUGUGUUCAUCUGUACAAGUCCAAUCAAGAUGUACCGUUAUUGCCCUUAUGAGAAGUAUGCAUGGGUGGAGAAGCAUUUUGGCCAAGAAUUUCUGGAGCAGAUUGUUCUCACCCGUGAUAAAACCGUGGUCUCUGCUGACCUCCUCAUAGAUGACAGACCAGAUAUAACAGGUGCCGAGCCAAACCCCAGCUGGGAGCACAUCCUCUUCACAGCUUGUCACAACAAGCACCUGCAGCUGAAACCCCCCAGCAGGAGGCUUCACUCGUGGACCGACGACUGGCGGGCAGUCCUGGACAGCAAACGGGCAGCACGCAGCCAGUUAAUUUAAAGCAAGAGCGGCCUGUGGUUGUCCAUCAUCAGGCUGCCCUUGGUUCCUCCCUGGGCAGUCUGUGGCAUCCAGCUGAAAGCUGAAAACCACAGAGAGACACCACCCCCUGCUGAAGCAGUCCAUGAGAAGAGGUGUCCUGCCUCAACCCUGUGGGAGGGGAUGGUUGCUGCCACCUGGGUCCCUGUGAACAGGACUGAACAUCAAUUGUAUUUGGUAAGGUAAAAGCCACUGAGCCACGUGCAGCUGUUGUGGAAGGGGAAGGCCCUUGGAGGGACACUGAGCCCCUGCUUUUUGGUUAUUGGGUGUGCUCCUCACACCUGCUUCUGUGAUAUCUGUGGUGUCUGCUGUGAGGUCCACUGUGUGGCUGACUGAGGCACCCGCUGCUCAGCCUGUGACCUGGAGUCCCACGGACUUGCUUAGCUGUGCCAAUGAGCUGGAAUCCCCUCUGCCUACACUGCUGCUGGGGCCUGGACCAGCAGCCUGCUCCGUCUUAGCACUUAUCCCAGGCCCGUCCUCCAGAAUGCAGGGGAAGAGUUUUUCCCUCUCUCACCUCCCCACGAGACUGGCUUUUCACUCCUUGGCUUGCCUGCUGUCAGCCCUCCAAGGAGACCAUCCCCAGGCAGCAUAUGGAAUGGACGGUCUCUUCAGAGCUGUGAACGGGCUGACUGGGGCUGCCUCCUAGGACCCUUGUUAUUAAAGAAGGUCCUCAGGGUUUGGGCAGUGACUCCCUGCCAGCCAAGACUCUGCCUAGCCCACUGAUAGAUGCCAAGGGAGCGCCCUCCUUAGAGGGUUACUGUGCAGCCUUGCCAGCUCUCUGCCCUUCUAGAGAGGUAGGAACAUCUGCAAACAUGCAGCACAGAAGACUAACAAUGACAAACAUCUGGGACGGAUCAGCCUUCAAAGCUGGCAGGCUGUACAUAGACCCCAUGUUCUGGCUCAGCUGUGAUCUGUGUGGCAUCUGACAGGUACAUCCAUGUCAAGGCCAGGGACCCAUAUGAUCAGACUGCAGGGAGACUGGCCUAGCAGUGCCAGGAUGAUGGCUCUGGAGGAAAGGUAUAAACAGUGACAGCUUCAGGAUCUGGGGGACAGGGUGACCCUGAAACUUCAAAACAUCUUACUGCACUGCAUGGAAGUAGCCUGACCUCAGCAUGACCUGUUUUCCAUCCUUAUUGCACAUGACAGUCAUGCCCAGCCUUCAAUUGCCCUGCAGUCUGGGUUGGUGAAAAACCAAGCUCCUAUGACAGGCGGUGAUAUGACUCCAGGCAUUGGGGACCUGUUGCAACCACUGCUGCUCCAGAGGCCUAAAACUGGUUUGGACAUGACCCCAGAAGCACCCUUGUAACAAAGGGGUCUGCAGACAACCUGUACAUUUGCCAAUGGCCACCCUGGGGCUGAGGAAAGUAAUCAGAGCUCCGUCCCUGGUCAGGAUUAUGCACAUCCUCAUUCACGCUAGGGGAGAAGCUAAUCGGUCCCAAGACUGAUUUCCUCAGGAGACAGAGGUUCCCCAAGCCCUUCACUAGCUUGAAGUCACCUAUGAGCUACUGCUUCCCUUUCCUCCUGUGAAUUUUCAGGCUCUUCUUCCCACUCAGUGCCUGACAAGACACUAGCAGUUCUUGUGGCGUGCUCCAUUACUGGGAAACACCAGGACAGCUGUUAACUCCAGAUGGCAGUCCCUUGAGACGGCCCGGCCCGUUUUAUAAUGACUGGCAUAUCUCUUGCAGAUGUUCUGCACAGAAGGGUUCAUCAUAGCCCACAGGCCAGCAGGAAAUGCCAGGGUGUGCAAAGCAGACAGGGGAGACAGAAAUGAGACCCAGCCAGAGGAGGAGGGAAUGUGAGUGAAGACAAUAUAAUCACACAGAGCAAUGAGCAGCUGUGAGGUAACAGCUGCCCUCCACGCAGUGCAUCCCCUGCUUGGUGACAGAUUCCUGGAUCCAGAGCAACGUGCCCACGGCCGCCGGGAACAAUGCCCCACGGCACUGAGUUCUCACAAAGAGAAGUGAAAAGGGCACGGUGAAUCACUGCAAAAUAAGCAAGGACGAAAGCCAGCCUGUGAAGUUCUGACCAUCCUUGGGCAUAUAUCCCAGGGGCACCGGCUGACUCAGACGUAACCUCUUCCCUACGCCCUGAGGAGGAGGAUUAGCAUGGUCCACCCUGUUACCGAGGAAUAUCAUUCUGUCUGAAUCCUCAACCGUCCAUGAAGUGCAAGGUCACCAUGAAUUGUUCUCUGUAACAUCCCCUCGGUCAGAUCUCUGCAACGAGAGGCUGUGCUCUUACCUCAUUGCCCGGGUCAAAUGUGACCAUGGAGAGGGCCUGACCCUCACAUGGGGCCAUCCAGAAGGUCUCUGCCAUUCUGUAAACUGGUAUGCAAGCCAUUGGAAGGGCAGCUUCAUCACCUGGUGCCACUCAAAUGUCCACGAGGGGGAGCUGCGUGACCACAGGUAACAGCAUGGAGGCUGCUUUGGUCCCAGGAGAUGCCUGCGACACUCUCCAAGGGAUGGGGAAGCACUUUCUGCCAACACUCCCUAUGUCCUCAGAGGGGAGCUGCCAGCACACGGCUCGAGAUCCCUCCGGGAACGGGGGGGCUGGGCAAAGGACACCCCCUUUUCUACAUCCAACUUUGGAUGGGGAAGGGGUCUAGGCACUCACAACCCCCUCCCAGUAGGUUCUCAGCAACCACCAAACUAUGGGUAGAGACCCCAAUACUCUAGCCACAGUGAUAAGGCAUUUCCAAGGUUCCCACAACAGACACUGCUGGUCCCAGCAUCCCUCCUAUCCAGCAAGAUCAUAAGUGCAAUAGUUGUAACUGGCAGUGCUUUGACCCUCUGUUGCCCCUUCCCCAGGGAUCUUGGAGCUCUUUGCAUACCCUAACAAGCCUAAUCUGAAAGCAGGACGAGCCAGAAGUUACAGCAACACGAUGCUAUGUUUCCUAUAGAUCCCAGUACCAGCCUGACAAGCGCUGCUGGGACAACAGCCUGGCUUGAGAAUGCCUCCCAAGCCCUGUGCACUCAGGAAGCAGGUAACUAUUGCUACCUCCGUGACACCUCUCCUAGUCUUCCCCAGGAGGGGCUAAGAAGGACCCCAGCUUUAGCUCUAUUGCUCUAGCUCCACGAUUCUCCAUCAGGGUGCUGCAGCAAUCUUAGGUGCUGUGAGAUCCUUUCAUGGGUGCUGUGGUACAGUGGGGUGUGCAAACACCUACACAUGAUUCACAAGAUAACCCAGAGAUACUAAAUAGGAAUUGAUGGUGUCAAAAAUGUUCUGACCUGGGGUCUUUCUGAGCUCUUUGCAACAGAAGAAUUGCUCUGUUAUUUCUCCAUAGUCAAAGAAGAAGGGAAUGCUAAGAGCCGGCAUUUUCUAAGGGGUGCCUUGAGCCUAAAAUGGUUGGGACCACUCCUCUAGAUACUUUACUCCAGUGGGACCCCACCACCUGUGUCCAUGGGCUGUUUAUGACAGUCAGUCCAUGCGGUCUGCACUCUGAGGGCAAAAGCUUUGAUAUUAUAGUCACCAAGUAGCCAGAUGCUUCUGUUAUCGAUACUAAUACACAAAGGAUGGUGCCCACGUUGCUUGCCAGGGGAGGUGUAAACACGAAGGCUCAGUCAGCUGUAACUGUUGAUACCAACCACUGGUUGCUGACCCACUCGGAGAUCCCCAGAAACAGCCCAAAACAAAAACACCGAGCCAGCCACUCUGCCAAGAAUUAAUGAGCCGUGCACUCAGCUCAAAGGCCGCCAGGCUCAUGCUUUGGCCUUGCACCAAGGAGGGCAGGCUUGAAAGGUGGUGAAGUCCACUGAGGACACCAGGACGAGUUCAGCAGAGUGAAAAGCUGGUAAACACCAGCUCUAGGUGGGAUGGCGAUAAGUUUGGACCUGAGAGGAGAGGAGGUGAGAGGCUGGUGCCAAAGGCAAACAGAGGCCAAAGCUGGUUUUCUCAGAGACCAGUAGAAGGCCUUCCAUGGGUGCCAGCAGGCAGUGGGUGCUGCUUCUGGAGGAGGUGCAUGGGCAAGGGGUGGCUUUCCAAGGUUCACACUGAAUAGGUUACUGGAAGAACUUUGGGGAGUAUGUCGGUGACGAUCCCCUAUAAGCAGGUGCUUGAUGGUUGACUGGUUGGUUGCAUAAAAGCCUCAAGGCAAGCUAUGAUUUUGAUUUGGGCAGGUGCUUUCCAAAUACCUCCUCCCUGUCCCUGCUCUGAAGCACUUGCAGCUAGAGAAGGCGAGAGCACACAGGAGGGGAGGACUGAUGGUCAAGGGAGCGAUGCAUUGUCCUCCCCUCCUAAAAUCAACCUGCAAACGACCCUGAGACCCAGACAUGGCCUGGCAUUUCCCUGGCUCCCAGCAACAGCUGCUGCUGGUCCCAGCAUCCCUCCCAGCCAACAAGAUCGGCCCACUAGCUUUUCCUUGUCCACAGCAUUACAGACCUGGGUCUUGAAAAGGGCCUUGAAGGAGGAGAGGGUGUUGGGGGUCAGUUCCCAAAGGGCUUUCUAUGAGGAAGGGGCCACGUGGGAGAUGGUAUAAAGGCAGUUGUGAGAGAGGCAGGCCAAUGUGAGAGGUGCUGGGGUUGCUGGUGGAGCAGAGGUGGGAUUCAGCCAGGAGCAGACUUCAGAGGAGCCAUGCAAGCCGGACCAUCUGCUUAAGCUUCAGGCAGUGGAAGAGAAGGAGCUGUAAGAGGGCCAGGGUCACAGUGAUAUGCAACUGCAUCCUCAACAACUAGGAGGAAGGAGAGGCAUCAAAACCUGGGGGCUUGAGGGAGAUUUUUAAUAGCAUGCAGAAAAGUGGGGUGUCUUAGAGCUAUGUCACAUCAAGAUUGAUGAUUCCUCUUAAUCCUGACUGUCUUUAAGGUGUCUCUUGGGGCCCAGCCUGACCAACACUUGCUGCUAGGGUCAGGCGAGGAAGGAGGUUGUGGGCCUGGCUGAUAGGAAAGGGUGGCCAGCACAGCCAUGCCCCCCCAGCUGCCAGGGGCACGCACCAUUCAUGGGUGGUGCAAUGCAACAGGCAAGAGAGGAGGCGAGGGGCCAAGAAGCAGGGAAGGAGGUCAGGAGAUGGCUCUUAGUCAAAUGAAGUCAGAGCUGACAGCCAGUCGCUGGGGACAGGUAGAGAUGUGGGGCAGGUUGGAGAGAGACCAGUCAGGGUGGAAAGACAGGCUUCUGAAUCACCGAUGCACAGAGAGGGCAGCUGCAAUCAUGUCUGGGGGAGAAACUACCAGAGGGAGAUGAAGCCACUGAACGCCUGUCACCAGGCAGCUGACACCUUCAGCAGUCAGCAGUGCAGCCCAAAUUUAGAAGAGUCCUAGUAGCACCCUCAGGUCUCUCAGCCU